CGCGGCCUAUCAGCUUGUUGGUGGGGUAAUGGCCUACCAAGGCUUCGACGGGUAGCCGGCCUGAGAGGGUGACCGGCCACACUGGGACUGAGACACGGCCCAGACUCCUACGGGAGGCAGCAGUGGGGAAUAUUGGACAAUGGGCGGAAGCCUGAUCCAGCAACGCCGCGUGAGGGAUGACGGCCUUCGGGUUGUAAACCUCUUUCAGCACAGACGAAGUUGCCCUUUUGGGGUGGUGACGGUAUGUGCAGAAGAAGCACCGGCCAACUACGUGCCAGCAGCCGCGGUAAUACGUAGGGUGCGAGCGUUGUCCGGAAUUAUUGGGCGUAAAGGGCUCGUAGGCGGUCUGUCGCGUCGGGAGUGAAAUCCACUGGCUUAACUGGUGGCUUGCUUUCGAUACGGGCAGACUGGAGGUAUGCAGGGGAGAACGGAAUUCCUGGUGUAGCGGUGAAAUGCGCAGAUAUCAGGAGGAACACCGGUGGCGAAGGCGGUUCUCUGGGCAUGUCCUGACGCUGAGGAGCGAAAGUGUGGGGAGCGAACAGGAUUAGAUACCCUGGUAGUCCACACCGUAAACGUUGGGCGCUAGGUGUGGGAUCCAUUCCACGGGUUCCGUGCCGCAGCUAACGCAUUAAGCGCCCCGCCUGGGGAGUACG
rnacentral:rRNA from 1 species